AACAACCAAAUCAUAGCAUCACAUUAGUCGCAAGGAUGACUUACGUGAUGGAGUCGCCAUUGAAUGAAUUACAUAAGUAGUUUUCUACUUCCAGCACACAUCAACGAUCUCUACUAUUGAAUAGGGUUUAGUUUUGAGAAUCUAAUUGUGUGGCAGCAGGGACUUCAUCAGUUGAUAUAUAUAUAUCCUCACAUUAUCAUAUUAGAGUUUCACUCAAACUAGCCUAUUAUCAGUAAGAGUUAUAAUCUCUAUCUUCAAUAAGAUUAAGUCCCAUCAUGACUCUCAUUCCUUGUAUUUACUUAAUAAAGGCCCUUAAUUGAUUGCAUGUAAUUAAGACUCCAAUAUGUUUAUUUCCUUAAGGCACCGAGAGUCCUAGAGAUUUCAUUAACUUGUAUGCCAAGUCAACUAUUCUCUCAAUAAUUCUCAGCAUAAUUCAUUGCCAUUCACAAAAUGGUUUUACAGUCUCCCAUUUGAAUGUCAAUGAGAAUACCUCAACGAGAUAAAUAUAUAUAUGGUGAUCACUUGAGUCCACUAAAGUACUCAAUCAUUCUUCUCAAGUAACUUGUCACUUUGAGACUAAGUGCAGAACCAAAGAAAACAAGGCACAAAUUGGACAAUUCCUUGCACUCCAUGAUUACAUGCACACUUAACUCAAAACACUAUGUUACUAACAAAGUCAUGAUAUCAAGAGCUAAUAGUCAAAACAUUAGCUCACAAUAGUCGAACUGAAAAUAUGAAAAUAUAUUUCAGUACAAAAGUAGUUCACAAAAGAACUCAACAAGGUUGGUAACAAAAUCCUACUUUUCUGUCAAUUUAGAAUAUAAUAAGACAACAAGUAAAAUACGACAUAUUGUUCACAAAAUCCGGACCUCUUAUUAAAACUUGUGAAUAGAAUUUAAACAAAAUUUACUCUUAAAGUAUCAGCCACUAACACUUCAAAAUUUUAACACAAAAGGUAAUCUCUUACUCCCAUUGAUUAACAGAGACAAAAUUAUAUAGAUAAAUUAUUAUUACUCCCACUGAUUAAGAGAGUAAAACAAAACUUCGUAAAUGUCUACAAAAUAAACAGAUACCUUUCAAAUACUCCCAUUAGCAAAACAUUAGUCAUGGGGUUUAGAACGUAAAUUUGUGAGCUCAACAUCUUUAUUCUAGAUAUCUGUAGGGAAGUGACUCUUGUGAUUGAAAAAUUAUACAAAAUCAUUUGGUCAGUUUUGUUCAUCUAACAUUUGACAAAAAUAGAAAACUUUAACUAAAUGUUUUCUUAUUUCAUCAAAAGCAUAUAAUUCCAGAAUCAUAUUUGGACAGAAACUAAUUAUAUUAGGUUUGCAUAGCUAAAACAUAAAAUAGAAGGGCAAACGUAUAGCUUCAACACUUUUGAGCAGAUGAAGUAUAUACAAUCUUGUCAAUUCCAUGUUUCACUAUACAUUGAUUAUAGUUGUACUGAAUAAGAAAACACUUUUGAGCAGAUUAAUUAUCCAUCAAUAACAUAUAAAUCACAAGUCCAAUUUCUUAAACAACAAACAAGAAUUAAUAAGCAAAACACUUUUGAGCAAAAUAUACUUAUUAACCCUUCUUGAAUUUCCUGCAAGAUUAGUUGCAUAUAUAACCAAUAAAAUAUAAACAAGUAUGAUAAUGUACAUCUUAUCUUCCCACAACAUGACAUUAAAUGGAUGCAAAAUUAAUGAGUGUGAAGCCCAUAAAAUAUUAUUUCUCCCACUUGGGCAAACACUCCUCAAAAUUGCAAGAUUAAACACUAGAGAAAGUGGUUUUCAUAUAACAAAAUAUAGGGUAGUUGAAUCAAUAAAGAUCAAAUACAUAAUUUUUUUUAAAGUACGUUAGAAUUAAAAGUUUCAUAAAUAAAAACUUAUGCAAUGACUACAAAUUUUAUUUUAUUUUAGUGUAUGAGAGAAGACUCACAUAUGUGUUAAAGAUUAGGUCAUAAAUUAAAAUGAAACCUAAUAAGAGAAUCCAAACUCAAAAUUUAUGUUUUAAUUCUUAAACAAAGUCGAUAAACACUUAGAUAUCUCAAUAACAUCAAUUUUCCAACAAUAAUUUUAAUCCAAUUUAGAACUCAGAGAAAAUUAAGGCAAAAGAUUGGUAAAUUUACCUACUCAUUCUCGAUUAUGCAAGAUUCAUCAUGGAAGUGGUCGAGUUGUGGAGGAUCGAACCAACCGCAAAUUGCAUGAUUGUUACACCUUUGGAUAAUGAUGUGUAUUUAAACUAACCUAAAUAAUAGAUUAAUCUAAACCAAAUUAAACUCGCAAGCGCAUGAAUCAAUUGUAGAAAUAAACACAAAUACGAGGUCGAUCCCACAAAUAUUGCUUUUAAUACCAAUUCAACUAGUUGAUUACGUGAAACUUAACUUAAAUAGGAAAUGAAUGAUUGAUUAUUUGAUUAUGAAAAAUAAUUAAAACUUCAACUUCAAAUUAAACUAGGAAUAUGAAUAACGAAAACAUGCAACGAAUGAAAGUUUAAAAGAAAUUAAUGUGAUGAAAGCCUAAGGUCAUGAAUCCACCAACAACAAUCUUAUUCCCUUUUUUUUUCAAGCCAAUUACUAUCGAAUUACCAUGCCAAUAUUUAAGGUUGUUCUUUCUAAGGUAUGAAUUAAUCCGUGGUCAGGCAUCAACUCAUGUGUUUAUACGUGUCUUAUUGGUCAGGCAUCCAGUUAAAACAUAAAAACCCAUUAAGCACUAAAGAAUUAUGUCAACCAAGUAGGACUAGUUUCAUAUUGGCCAUCCUCACUAGUUUGUCUACUCUCCUUAAUCUUAGUUCCAAUAAACCUAAUUGAUAUUGGUCAUCCUCCUAGAUUUAUCUAGUUAUCUAGAAACAAGUUCACAAUGAUGGCCUGUCACACGAACAUUCGAAACUAGAAUAGAUUAAGAACAAAGAUUAAGAACUAAACAUCGCAUGUAAUCGAAUAAUAAUCAACAAGAUACUUCGGGAAUAAUCAUGUCAUGGCUUCAUCAUAAACCUUAAAAAAGUAAUUUAGUUACACAUAGUCAUAAUAAAAAUCACGAAAGAAGUCAUGGAAAAGAUAAAACCCGGAAAAGAAUGGUAAAACACGCUAGAUUUCCUUCCUUUUCUUUGCACGACUUAGGGCCUUCUAUUUAUUCUAGUAAAACCCUCAAAAGUCUGAUAAAAACCUAUCCUAAAAGAAAGAAAAUUCCUAAAUAAUCAAUGGGAGAAAUUAGGAAAGAAUCCUUUUUGAAUUGGGAAACACAGCAUCUGAUUUGCACACCAGAUUUGGGGUCAAUUUCCCUUCUGGAAAAUUCUGUAAAAAUAUGGGAAACGUAGCUUGAUCUCUUAUCUUUCCAAGCAUAUAUCACACACCAUUAUGAAAAAUUGGGAAAGCCUUCAAUCUUCAUUCUCUUACAGUUGCGCAGUUCUAACUGGAAAACUACUUCUACGGGAUUAACUUCGAAAACUGGAACGUUUGGCUUCAUGGAAAUUUAUGAAAUUUGGACACAAUGAUCUUCCGCCCCUUAGCUUCCUUCUCCAAUUGGCCUUGCAUCAAAACUCCUCCAGAAAAUCGAAUUAUCACCCAAAAACGUCCUGCAUGCGCAGAUUGGCUGAAACAAAGAAAAUGAAAGUAAUAAGGAUCUUUUAAGACCAGUUCCUUUAACAAAACUUAGGGAUAAUUAAAGUGAAAAUGUGAUCAAUAAUGCACCUAUCAAGCUGAAACUAAUCAUGCAAAGAAAAUACCUACAUAGCUUGCCAAAACAUAACAUACACCAAAUACAUAUAGCUUCAAUAGCUUUGGCCAUAUGAAAAUAUGUUAGAAGUACUUUAUGAUUUGCUAUAAUACUAAUUUAUAAUUGGUGAGUGAUUUCCUGAAAUUCCCAUUGGGACAAAAGUAUUCACCAUAUAAAUUAGAAUUCUAAUUUUUUCAAAAUAAUCCUUUAGAACAGUAUUAAAUAACCGUUUUGUUGGAUAUUCAAUGAUUCUUAAAAGAUUCAAUCAAACACAAAAGUAUGCUAUUAUUGACAUUGAACAAUAGAGUUCUCGAAAGAGGAAACAUGGUUAUUCAGUUAUUCGAUAGGGACCAAAAUGAUCAAUUAUUAAACUGAUGCAACUUUUCAAUUUUCUCUCAAAAGAUAAUUAUCAUCAUAAUCAGAAUUGAUGACCAAACAAAACAUCGGUUUAAGCAAAACAAACCAAUACAUCUUUAAAUCAAAAUUUAAUCAGUGUUGUCUAUAAAAGUCAUUAGUAUUGAGAAUUUGCAUAAAAUAAGGACAUAUUGGAACCAUAAACUUGUAUAAUAAUCGGUACCGAUAGAUGUGCACAAAUCAGUGAAACAAUAUCACAUAACAAAACUAGUUUUGAAGUACCAAAAUUCAGCAGUACUACUUUAGUUUGCAAAUUCACUAAAAACUCAAUUCUCUUUAGAUUAUCAUGAAAAAUUUUAGGUAUGCAUAUAUGGCUACUAUUUCGCAAAAUUUCAUAAUUUGUAAAAUUUUUAAGCGAGCCAAACAUGAAUUCAAAAAGAGAGGUGCUUGAGAAACUACAGAAAAUGUUCAGUACAGAUCUGAUAUUACAAAUUCACCAAAUAUUCAUUGUUCAUCCGAUAUGCAUGAAGAUUUUCAGACAUAAAGUAAACAUACAAAUCUGUUAAUUCCCAAAAUUUCAUAAUUUUUUAGACUUUACAAGUGUACUAAAAGAGAAUUAGAAAUGGGAUGUGCUGCAGAAACUGCAAAAAUUCUGCAGUACAUACUGGAGACUAAAUAAUUCACCAAAAAUUCAAUUUUUCUCCAAUAUGCAUGAAGAUUUUCAGAAAUGAAGUAGACAUAUAAAUUUACUGUUACCCAAAGUUCCAUAAUUUUUGCAAUCUUAAAAGUGGGCUAAAAAUAAAAUCGAAAUGGAAUGUGCUGCAGAAGCUGCGUAAAUUCUGCAGUAUAGUCCCGAGGUUAAAAAUUCACCAGUAAGUCAUUUUCAAACCAAUGUGCGUGAACAUUUCCAGACCUAAAAUAAACAUAUCAAUGUAUAUCAUACUAAAAGUUUAUGAAUUUAUGAGUUACACAAAUAUAUCAAAAUAAUGUCACAAAUAGACUAUGGUGCAGAAUUCCAGCAACAUAGUGUAACAUUUAAAAUUUACCAUAAAUUCAUUUCUUGUCCAAAAAUUGGGGAAAAUAAUACCAGCGUCUAUAAUUCAUUCAAUAUUACAACAUGACAAAAUUUCAUAAUAUUUGGAGUUAUGGAAGUCUAUCAAGAUCAGAAACAAAAAUAGAACAUCAUAGUCUUGUUUUUAGAACAACCUUUAGCAUGUCCAUUGUCAUAUAUCAAAAUCACUUCUAAGAUAAGAAAACAAUUCAAAAGUGAAACCAAAAUGGCCACGGCAUUAAUGUGUUUAUUUGAGGAAUUUCUUAAAAUCAAUUGGGUCUCAAUUAAUCUAAUUUUAUGUUUGAAGACGAAGAUCAGUAAACACAGAGGACAAAUGUAGUAGACAUGAACUGAAAUCUAAUUACAUAUAUCAAAUGAAGGAAAAAUUAUAUUUAUUAAUCCAUUACUCAAAAUUAUGCAGCGGAUUAGAACAAACGACAAUUAAAAGUGAUUGAAGAAAAUCCUCACAACCCCAAUUUGGGCAUAUGGUCCAGAAAACUUAACAUGUGAACAAGAUAUCAUAUGUACAUAUAGCUCAAGCUCCUUAGGAUCGCAAGAUUUGGGACUUGAAAAGUUUUCUAAACCUUCUAAGUUUCUGUAGAAUUAAUUCAUACAUUCAACUAAGAUAUGAACUUGUGUGC
rnacentral:lncRNA from 1 species